rnacentral:rRNA from 1 species
CUUGACAUGGACGGAACUCCGCUGAGAGGUGGAGGUGCUCGAAAGAGAACCGUCGCACAGGUGCUGCAUGGCUGUCGUCAGCUCGUGUCGUGAGAUGUUGGGUUAAGUCCCGCAACGAGCGCAACCCUUGUCUCUAGUUGCUACGAAAGGGCACUCUAGAGAGACUGCCGGUGACAAACCGGAGGAAGGUGGGGAUGACGUCAAGUCCUCAUGGCCCUUAUGGGUAG